rnacentral:rRNA from 1 species
GUAGGGGGCAAGCGUUAUCCGGAUUUACUGGGUGUAAAGGGAGCGUAGACGGUGCGUCAAGUCUGAAGUGAAAGCCCGGGGCUUAACCCCGGGCCUGCUUUGGAAACUGGCGCGCUAGAGUGCUGGAGAGGUGAGUGGAAUUCCUAGUGUAGCGGUGAAAUGCGUAGAUAUUAGGAGGAACACCAGUGGCGAAGGCGGCUUACUGGACAGUAACUGACGUUGAGGCUCGAAAGCGUGGGGAGCAAA